CGAGCCCCAUGUAGUAGAGAUGCGAGCAUGAGGCGAUUUCUUUCUCGCGUGACCGCCGACUUUGAAGAUGUACUCAAACAACACAGACCAAUCAAUUGCACAUCUCUAGCAGACAGCCAACCAGGUGGCAGCGCUGUCAACUCAAAUACAUGUGGCAACCACGAGUCGGACAUUUUCAUAACGGAAGAAUGGUUGAAAAGUACCAGAAUAGCGCGCGCGAUUGGGAUAUUUUUUAAUAUCGAAUUUAACAAUGAAGUGUAGGAAUACAUAUAUGAGCACUGAUUUUAAGUGAUUGAAUACAUAUAAGAACAUAGAACAAA